rnacentral:rRNA from 1 species
UACGUAGGGGGCGAGCGUUGUCCGGAAUUAUUGGGCGUAAAGAGCUUGUAGGUGGUUUGUCGCGUCUGCCGUGAAAACCCGAGGCUUAACCUCGGGCUGGCGGUGGAUACGGGCAGACUAGAGGUAGGUAGGGGAGAAUGGAAUUCCCGGUGUAGCGGUGAAAUGCGCAGAUAUCGGGAGGAACACCGGUGGCGAAGGCGGUUCUCUGGGCCUUACCUGACGCUGAGGAGCGAAAGCGUGGGGAGCGAACAGG